AGCAGAAAGAUGUAUACGCCCCCCGAAUCCCCAGCGACGAUGGAGCUCGCCGUCGCUCCUAUUCGCCGUCUCGCUCCUCGAGCCUCGAUGCCAGAGAAGCCGUUCCUUCGCCACUUCGGCUUCCACCGUCGUCCCGCGACGAGCCGCCGUCCCCGAGGGCCGCGUCUCUCCGCGACGUCCCGUCGCUCGGCGUCCGGCGCCGGCUCUCCUCACUUCACGGGCGAGGACAAUCUCGAUGCCUUAUUGCAGGUUCUUCCAAGCGACUUGCAUGAUGAUCUGAUGGGUGAACCUGGUCGAUCUCAACUCGUAGAGGUGAUACUAGAUUUGGGCCGUUUGCCUGAAGCACGUUAUCAAGGUGAAAUUGGUGGAAAAUACUUGAGGCCAACUGAGGUUACAAUGAAAGAUCUGGAGCAUGCGCUAGAUGCUGUUGGAGAAUUUAUAGACAAUAGAGCUGGCAUGGCAGGGACCUUGCAUAGGAUAUCUGCCAUCAAGAACAGGGAGGGGGCCGUGGUUGGUUUAACAUGCCGAGUUGGCAGGGCAGUCAUUGGUCAUGGUGACAUGGUCUAUGAUUUACUUCGAUACGGGAAGAGCAUCCUGUUUGUUGGAAGGCCAGGUGUUGGUAAGACAACUGCAAUGCGAGAUAUAGCUCGUGUAUUGUCUGAUGAACUUUGCAAAAGAGUGGUGAUUGUUGAUACAAGCAAUGAAAUAGGUGGAUAUGGAGAUGUUCCACAUGCAGCUAUAGGAAGAGCCCGAAGAUUGCAGGUUCCAGAACCAUCAUUGCAGCACAAGGUCAUGAUCGAGGCGGUGGAGAAUCACAUGCCUGAAGUGAUCAUUGUGGAUGAAAUUAGCACUAGGGCCGAAGCUUUUGCUUGUCAGUCAAUCGCUGAAAGAGGUGUCAUGCUUAUUGGGACAGCACAUGGUGAAACACUUAAGAACAUGCUAAAGAACCCUAAUCUUUCUGACCUGGUUGGGGGAGUACGAGCUGUUACUUUAGGCGAUGAUGAAGCUCGACUAAGGAGAUCUCGAAAGAUUGUUCUUGAGAGAAAAGCUCCUCCAACAUUUCCUUUUGUGGUAGAGAUGCGGAACAGAUGCUAUUGGGUGAUGCAUCGGACAGAAAAAAGCGUGGAUAUGUUGCUUAAUGGUAAAUUGCCUCUGGUUGAGUUAUACAGCUCAGAAGCUCCUUGGUUUUUCAGGUCAGGAAGCGAGAUGACCAGUUCAAGGUUGUAAUAGAGAGGUGGAAGAUGUACAAUGACAAUAUGCUUGAAUAAUUUUCCCCUUUUGUUUGCUAAUUUCUCGUGACAAACUCCGCCUCUUCAUCCAGCUAUUUUUAAGCAUAUCUUUGUGCUAGGAUUGCUUCAGUUUGUGAUUCUAGACCACGACCUAUGGUAUGGCAUCUGGCUAGAAAAGAAUGUUUGGUCUAAAUUAUCACCUCAUCAUGUGUUUCCUAACAGCCAUACCAGUGGAAGGAAUCUAUUCCCCUUUUACUCGAUUCAUUUCAAGCGAGCAAGUGAGGCAUAUGUCGUAUGGCAAGAACUACAAUAGCAAAGGGCUUUCACGGAGAAGGCAUUGUUAGUACAUAUACCAAUAGAAUAGAAAUGCCUUUCCUAAGCUAAUGGCUGUUGAAUAGUUGAGUGCUUGUUACAAAAGUCUGAUUAACCGUGUUAAGUAUCCAGUUUUGUAACUUAUUCUAUCUUGUACAAUUGGAUUAAGAUCUAUGUGAACAGUUGAUUGCUGAUUCAAAUAUUUUUUGAA